GACGAACGCUGGCGGCGUGCUUAACACAUGCAAGUCGAACGGGAUGAUUUAGAAGCUUGCUUUUAGAGAAUCUAGUGGCAAACGGGUGAGUAACACGUAGGCAACCUGCCGACAGGAUGGGGACAACAUUCCGAAAGGAAUGCUAAUACCGAAUGAAGCGCAGGAGAGGCAUCUCUCCUGCGUGAAAGAUGGCCUCUAUUUAUAAGCUAUCACCUGUCGAUGGGCCUGCGUCUGAUUAGCUGGUUGGUGGGGUAACGGCUCACCAAGGCGACGAUCAGUAGCCGGUCUGAGAGGAUGAACGGCCACAUUGGGACUGAGACACGGCCCAGACUCCUACGGGAGGCAGCAGUGGGGAAUCUUCCGCAAUGGGCGCAAGCCUGACGGAGCAACGCCGCGUGAGUGAAGAAGGGCUUCGGAUCGUAAAGCUCUGUUGAUGGGGACGAACGUGCGAAGGGUGAAUAAACCUUUGUAAUGACGGUACCUGUUGAGGAAGCCACGGCUAACUACGUG
rnacentral:rRNA from 1 species